ensembl:lncRNA
GUCUUCAUCCGCUCCGCUAGGUGGCAGCACUGAGAAUGUGGAGGUCUUGGAACAAAAUCAACAACAGUAGUCACUACUUCCUUUGCGCUGUGGAUACAUGUAUUAUUUCUGUGGAAUGAAAUGUACAGGCUUCUCAGUAAACCGACUCGUACCAGCCAUGGCCACUGCAGAUUGCUGCCUCCGUCCCUGCAGGGAGGCCAUUAGAUGUCUCUUGCAGUAGUAGAUCAGAGCUAGCUGAACAAGCAUCAUCGACGAGCUAGCUACUGAAUAUUUAUUUAUUUUGCUAGCUACUGAAUAACUACAGUAGCUUUCGCUUUCCACAAUGCAAGCUAUCAAAUAAACUUCGCUGCAAAUAUCCAACGGUGGAGUUGAUUUAUCAAUAUAUAAUCAAUGCGGUAUUUAUCCAAAAGUAACUUUAGAUUCGGAUUCGUUUUGCACCAACAGAAUGCAUUUGGUGGACUUUGUUUUAUCCUUUAAAAAAAGACUUACAGCAACAUGUAAUUAGUGUUGUAUUUCACCAUGAAGUUCUAUUUAACCUGGAGUUAUCUUGUGGAGUUUUAGUUUAGGGAUGUUAUUGGGAUGUCUUAGACACCCAAUAAUUGUUUAUUUAAAGAUGCAAUAUGUAACUUUUUGGGCUACCAGGACCAAAUUCACAUAGAAAUCUAAGUUAUAGAUUUGUCAUUCUCAUUGAAAGCAAGUCUCAGAAGCGGUUGAUCUGUUCUAUGUGUACUAUUUCUGUGCCUCCCGUUCAUAAAAUGUGUUUUAUGCAUCUUUUACUUUCAGUUUUGUACACCAGCUUCAAACAGCUGAAAAUACUAUACUGGUUAUGGAAAAGCUACUUCACAGCGGUUUAGGAUGAUGACCAGCACUGUCUUUAAAGGAGAGGACCAGACAUUCCCCACAUGGUUCCAUCCUAGAGCUACAAGACCCUAGAAUGAUGACCAGCUCUGUCUUUAAAGGAGAGGACCAGACAUUCCCCACAGGGUUCCAUCCUAGAGCUACAAGACCCUAGAAUGAUGACCAGCUCUGUCUUUAAAGGAGAGGACCAGACAUUCCCCACAGGGUUCCAUCCUAGAGCUACAAGACCCUAGAAUGAUGACCAGCUCUGUCUUUAAAGGAGAGGACAAGACAUCCCCCACC